GGGAGAAGAAGCGAUGAAGUUCUGGGAUUGGUACUUGAAGAUAGCUGUUGGGUCAGCGAUGGUUGGAGGUUCAAUGGAGCUUUUCAUGAUCAAAACUGGUUUCUGUACGAUAAAGUAGCAGUUUUGGAGUCAGAGAAGAGGGCUUGGGAGAGUUCACCUGAAGCUCAGGCCAUGAGAGACGCUCUCAAUCCUUGGCGGCAUCAAGGGAAGGAAGCCGAAAAGAGUUCCUAGUCGCGUUAGAACGGUCUUGAGUAAGGUUUGCAUCUCUUCUACAGUUGAUGAAAUUUAUGAAAAACCAAUUCUCUUACAUUACACCCUCAGAGUUAUCUUCCCUUGUCUGCAGAAAGCAGGCAAUUUGUUCCAAGGCACAAUAUUCUGAAUUGAAAUUGGCAGAUCAUAAACUCAAUUACUGCCUUUGUUGCAGGCUUUAUUGUUGAAAUCGACUGACUGGUUUGAGUUAAGAUGGCGAGUUUAUGUUGAUAGAUAUUUGUUUGAAUGCAUCAUGUCUUCAUACUUGAUGUCAUUUGCUCAUAACGCUUCCGCUAACAAAGUAUUUCAGUUGAGCUCACGUAUUGUUGAGAUACUAUUCCAUUCGAGUUUAUGUGACUUUGAAUCUAUUCAAGUUAUUUUCAUUA